AUUCACCAUGCCUCCUGCCUCCUCCCCCUCUCCCGUCCCUCCCACCCUGCCUGCUGGAUCCCCAGCAGUCUCUUGACACCUUGGGGGAAGGCUGGGAGGUGUAACCAUCGCCAGCGAGCGAGGGAGAGCAGCAGAGAAGGGAGAAGGAAGCCAAUAACAGGGAGGUCUAGGAAGGUGGUGGAGGGGGAGGGACGGGGCCACUCCUCCAUCGGUGGGACUGCAGAUUAUUUUGCAUGGAUUGUUGAAGAGAAAAGGGAGCUGCAUUUGUGAAGGGACCAAAAAAUAAACAGCUCAUUGCUCGGGCAGGGGCCGUGCAGGGAUCGGGAGCGGCCGGCUGUGACAGGGGUGGCGAUGCCACGCGCGCUGUGACUGUGAGGGAUGCACACGGAUGCACGUGGAGAAGAGGUAAAACUGCCAGCACUGCCUCCAGGAGGGACUUGCCCCAUCUCAGGACUGUGGCACCUGCAGCCCUCAAGGGGUGCUUCACCCCAUGCAGGGCUCUGAAGUCCCCAGCCCACCACAGCUCCCAGCUGUGGGGAGCAGGACACGGAGAGCGGGCUGGAUCUGAGGUCCAGGAUUGCCUGGCCUGUGGGAUGGGAACAAAGUCAGGCAGGAAUUGGGGUUCCCUGUGGGAUCUGUCCUGCUCAGCAGCAGCUCAGCAUGUUCCUCUAUGGAUCUGCCCUUACCCAGGCCAAAGAGGGGUGUUUUUGGUCCGAAUCCCACCUCUGCCUUCCUCUGGCACUGAGGGAUCAGCAGCAGGGAGGGGCUGCUGACAUCUCCACAGAGUGAGAGGUGCUCUGUAAGAGCAGCUGCAGUUCUGCACCCCUUGUUAACAAGAACUGGCAGAGCCCUGACCUGGCCAAGCAAUUAGUGAUUUUACUGCUAAUGAAAGCUUCAGCUCAGCAAGUGAGAGCAGCCAGAGUCUUCUUCUGAACCUGGCCACCCUCCUGGCUGCUCAAAGGUGAUGGUUCGCUGAGAGGGAAACUGAGGCAGUUGAAUGAUCUGCUUCAGAUGUGAGUUAGGAACCGGGUUAGAGGGAGAACCCCAAAGUCCUGUCUGCCUGCUGGCACUGAUUGGCCAGGCUUCCUGUCCAGAUGAAUCACAGCCACAUCACCAAAUGGUUUGGGUUGGG
rnacentral:lncRNA from 1 species